CAGCGCCGCGGUAAUACGUAGGUGGCAAGCGUUGUCCGGAAUUAUUGGGCGUAAAGGGCUCGCAGGCGGUUUCUUAAGUCUGAUGUGAAAGCCCCCGGCUCAACCGGGGAGGGUCAUUGGAAACUGGGAAACUUGAGUGCAGAAGAGGAGAGUGGAAUUCCACGUGUAGCGGCGAAAUGCGUAGAGAUGUGGAGGAACACCAGUGGCGAAGGCGACUCUCUGGACUGUAACUGACGCUGAGGAGCGAAAGCGUGGGGAGCGAACAGGAUUAGAGACCCCAGUAGUCCCUGUCUCUUAUACA
rnacentral:rRNA from 1 species